UACGUAGGGGGCAAGCGUUGUUCGGAAUUACUGGGCGUAAAGGGCGCGUAGGCGGAUCGUUAAGUCGGGGGUGAAAUCCUGGAGCUCAACUCCAGAACUGCCUUCGAUACUGGCGAUCUUGAGUCCGGAAGAGGUGAGUGGAACUCCUAGUGUAGAGGUGGAAUUCGUAGAUAUUAGGAAGAACACCAGUGGCGAAGGCGGCUCACUGGUCCGGUACUGACGCUGAGGUGCGAAAGCGUGGGGAGCAAACAGG
rnacentral:rRNA from 1 species